rnacentral:rRNA from 1 species
GCUGAGGCGCCCAAGGAUAGGUCUGCGGCCGAUUAGGUUGUUGUUGAUGUAAUGGAUCAACAAGCCUGCAAUCGGUACGGGUUGUGAGAGCAAGAGCCCGGAGAUGGGUUCUGAGAAAAGAACCCAGGUCCUACGGGACGCAUCAGGCGCGAAAACUUUACAAUGUGCGAAAGCACGAUAAGGGAACUCUGAGUGCCUCCUAUGGAGGCUGUUCAGGUGUCUAAAAAGCACUUGAAGUAAGGGCUGGGUAAGACCGGUGCCAGCCGCCGCGGUAACACCGGCAGCCCAAGUGGUAGCCACGAUUAUUGGGUCUAAAGCGUCCGUAGCCGGCCAGGUAAGUUCUUUGGGAAAUUUAACCGCUCAACGGUUAAGCUUUCAGGGAAUACUGCUUGGCUUGGGACCGGGAGAGGUCAGAGGUACUUCAAGGGUAGGGGUGAAAUCCGUUAAUCCUUGAGGGACCACCAGUAGCGAAGGCGUCUGACCAGACCGGGUCCGACGGUGAGGGACGAAGGCUAGGGUCGCGAACCGGAUUAGAUACCCGGGUAGUCCUAGCUGUAAACGAUGCGGGCCAGGUGUUGGCAUUACUGCGAGUGAUGUCAGUGCCGAAGGGAAGCCGUUAAGCCCGCCAUCUGGGGAGUACGGUCGCAAGGCUGAAACUUAA